rnacentral:lncRNA from 1 species
GGAGGAGUCAGCGGUGGGGAAGGAGGCAAACUGCUGGGCUUUGCCAGGGGGCCAAGUGGCCGGCGGCGGCCGCGGCGUGGGUGGGGGUGUUAGGAACCCUGGGGAGAUGUGUUGCCGUUUGCAGCGGACUUUGUGGGUUUAGACGGCUGAAGCAGGAGCUUAAAGUGAUCCUUUGGCUGAUGACAUGAGGCAGCAUGGAUUCUGCAAGCUCCCAUUUGUAUUCCAGGCUGGCUGUGGGUUUUCCCAGCUAUCCUCCUGGGAACAUGAUUCUAUUCUCUACAUAAAAGCAAAGAUACAAUUAAAGCUACACAUCAGAGAGCAAUCAAAGGAACCAACAGCUCCACAUUACUAUGGAGAGAAUGCUACUGAGCAAAGCAGUUUCUGCAAACAGCCUCUUCUCAUGGUGGCCCCAAAUGCAGGAAAGCAGCUCCUGGUACUUCUGCAGCCUCUCAAAUCUGCCUCAUCCCAGAAUGAAGGGGAGCUUCUGACAAAGUAUAUUGUCUUCCUCAGUGGCCUGGUCCACUGUCUUACAAGGUUUCUCCUAGUUCUUACCUACCUCCUGCCUGCCGAGGUGUCAUCUCACAUCUGUUUUCCUUGAAGACAGAGAACAUUGACUCAUGUGCCCCACCUGAUAACCUUCUUGAGAUGAACCUGGCUGGCUUGCUUUUCGGCAGCUGAUUCAGAUCCUAAUUCUUUGCUGCUUUCUCAGCAGCAGAAAGAAGAAACAUAGACAUUUUGGUCCACAAUCCACCUCACUGAUUUCAUGGAAGGGCUUGGAAACUAUGACACUGAGGUAGGCUAUGUGACCAGGGCAGCCCUAGAAAUUGUGUUUUCAUAGGCUUUUCCUCCGUUAAAAAUAUAAAAUCAGGGCCGGAGAUUUGGCUCAGUGGUUCUGGUGCCAGCCUCGCAAAGCGCAAGGUCCCGAGUUCGAU